ACGGUUGACCUCGGAUCAGGUAGGAAUACCCGCUGAACUUAAGCAUAUCAAUAAGCGGA
rnacentral:rRNA from 1 species